rnacentral:rRNA from 1 species
CCUACGGGGUGCAGCAGUGAGGAAUAUUGGUCAAUGGCCGGAAGGCUGAACCAGCCAUGCCGCGUGAAGGUCAGUGCCCUAUGGGCGUUAAACUUCUUUUGUGCGGGAGCAAUAAUGGUCACGUGUGGCCAGACGAGAGUACCGUACGAAUAAGCAUCGGCUAACUCCGUGCAAGCAGCCGCGGUAAUACGGGGGAUGCAAGCGUUAUCCGGAUUUAUUGGGUUUACAGGGUGCGUAGGCUGUGAGGUAAGUCAGCGGUGAAAUGCCCUCGCUCAACGGGGUGAAGUGACAUUGAUACUGCCUUGCUGGAAUGCGGAUGCCGUGGGAGGAAUGUGUGGUGUAGCGGUGAAAUGCAUAGAUAUCACACAGAACACCGAUUGCGAAGGCAUCUCACGAAUCCGCGAUUGACGCUGAUGCACGAAAGCGUGGGUAUCAAACAGGAUUAGAUACCCUUGUAGUC